AAACACUAAUAAGCAAAAACAAACACCAAUAAGCAAAAACAAACACCAAUAAGCAAAAACAAACACUGAUAAGCAAAAACAAACACUGAUAGGCAAAAACGCAACGGCCUAAACCAACAUGAACGAAAGCACCAAUGACGAGUUUAACGAUGUAACAGUAAACCUGGGAGGAGUAAAAAAAAUAAAAAAAAAAAAUUUAGAUUUUUUAUUCGUUGAUAUAAAAAAGAGUCGAAAUAUUAAUGAACUAGUACAUAAUAUUAAUAAAUGUAACAACCAAAUAAAUUACUUAAAUAUAUUUGAUGGCAUCCCACGUAUAUUUUUAUCUAACUCGGUUGACAAAAAUGUAUUAGUAAAUUAUAAUAUGUUAGAAAAAAAAAGUAAUUAUAUGAUAGGUACUCAUGUUAAUAAUAGAGGUGAGGUAACAGUAGAUUUAGAAAUGGUUAUACCAUAUGUAUUUAAAACAAUAAAUAGUUUGGAAUUUAAAGCUAAUUUUAGUAGUCUCUAUACUAACAGUUUUGGUACUCGUUUUGUUAUACCAUAUAUUCCUUACCAUUUUCACUUUUUAAAAAAUUCAAAACUAUUUUUUGAAUGGACCUUAAGUAGUAUAAAUCAUACCAAAACAACAUCCUAUGCAUUAAAUACAAAUUCGUUGAAAACACAUUUUUUAAAAAACAAUAAUUCUUUUAUAUGGGAAUUUGCUUAUAAUAAAAUAUAUAAAAAAAUAGAUAAAAACUUCAUUACAUGUGAUAAGGUACUGAAAUCUGUUGAUAGUAAUUUUAAACAUACCAUACGACAUAUUCAUAAAAAAGACAAACUGGUUUAUACAUUAAAUGAUAAUAGUACUACUUCUAACACUGUUAGUACUACUAAUAACAAUGACACUCGUAAUGACAAAACUCAAACCACUCCAUAUCCGAGGGGAGGCUACUACUACUGCAUUGACACAGAAAUAUCUUUACCUUAUUGCGAGCAAAAUUUUAUUAAAAAUGUGUUUAAUUUUUUAUACGUUAAAAAAAUAAAAAAUAAUUUUUUUUCUUAUAUACAAUUUAGUAAUGGUAUGAAAUGGCAUUUUGACGAUUUUAAAACCACCAAAUAUGAUGAUGACAAAAUUAGUUUGAAUACAAUUAUGAACAAAACAGAUGGUUCCAAUUGUUCUCAUUAUCUAAACCAGCAAACAAAACACAUAACAAUCGACUAUUUAAAUAACUUCAAUUUCACAGGCAGUGUAGGAACAAGUGGAUUGAUUUUCAGAGGGUUCGAAUAUAAUUCAAUGGGACCUGUAGAAAACUGUUAUAAAUUUAAUAAAGAAAAAAAAAAAGUAUGAUUUACAUUAUAAUUAUCUUGGGACUCAUUUUUUUACUAAUAUUCAGCUAAUAUUUAAAUAUAUUUUCAAAUUUCAAAAUCUAAAACCAAUUGCUUUUUUUUAUAUACAAGUAGGAAGAUUGAG
rnacentral:lncRNA from 1 species